GCUCUGGUGGUGGAAUUGGUAGACACGCUAUCUUGAGGGGGUAGUGACCACAGGUCGUGCGAGUUCAAGUCUCGCCUAGAGCACCA
rnacentral:tRNA from 3 species